CACGUAGGAGGCGAACGUUAUCCGGAUUUAUUGGGCGUAAAGCGCGUGUAGGUGGUUCUGUAAGUAGGGCGUGAAAGCUCCUGGCUCAACCGGGAGAGGCCGUUCUAUACUGCAGAGCUAGAGGAUGGUAGAGGGAGGUGGAAUUCCAGGUGUAGCGGUGGAAUGCGCAGAUAUCUGGAGGAACACCAGUGGCGAAGGCGGCCUCCUGGACCAUUCCUGACACUGAGACGCGAAAGCUAGGGUAGCAAACGGGGAUUAGAUACCCCUGUAGU
rnacentral:rRNA from 1 species